rnacentral:rRNA from 1 species
UACGUAGGGUGCAAGCGUUGUCCGGAAUUAUUGGGCGUAAAGAGCUCGUAGGCGGUUUGUCGCGUCUGCUGUGAAAACGCGAGGCUCAACCUCGCGCCUGCAGUGGGUACGGGCAGACUAGAGUGCGGUAGGGGAGAUUGGAAUUCCUGGUGUAGCGGUGGAAUGCGCAGAUAUCAGGAGGAACACCGAUGGCGAAGGCAGAUCUCUGGGCCGUAACUGACGCUGAGGCACGAAAAGCGUGGGGAGCGAACAGG